rnacentral:lncRNA from 1 species
AAGACAACGUGGCUGCUCCUCAAGGGAGAUGCAGACACCAGAACUAACUCUCCGGACUUGGACAGUCAGUCUCUGUCCCUCAGCAGUGGGGCUGAUCAAGAACCUCUCCAAAGGAUGCCAGGGGACAGCCUCUACUCACGUGAGUGGCUCUUCUGAAGCGCACCCGGAGACUGCCAGCGAGGGGCCCCUACUGAGUGGGCCCCCAAAUCUCAGCUUUACUCCCCCUAAAAAAGCUAAAAGCAAGAGACAGCGUGUGGAUGACAAAAUUGGCAGAAAGAUUGCUGUGAAUUUGAAGCUGGCCUGAGCUACCUAGUGAGACUCCGUCUCAAAAAUAAAAUUAAAACAAAACCAAAA